AUGAAUGUAACUGUACUGUAUUCCUAAAAUGUACCAAUAAACUCAAUAAGAAAAAAAAUUUUAUGGAGGGAAUUAUUUGGGAUUCAAAAACUAUAUAUUGUCAAUCUCCCACUCUAUCAGGUUGGUGAGUCCCCACUUUGGAAGUCAGAGCCCAAAGCUUACUCAUCAUUGGACUUGCUGCACGCAUACACCCCACCUUCUGUACAGGCCCUGAAUAACUGAAAGUGUUAAAGAGACUUGAUUGCUCAGACUGAACUAUCCCAAGUUGUUGCCAUUUGGCCUGCUAGCCACUGUUAAAUGCAUUUUUGCAAAAAGCACGACUCAUUUAUAUAACAUAUCAGCUCCCCCUUGUGACUAUCCUGUAGGGAAUUUGACAGGAAAUAAAGACACCUUUUAACAAUCUGAUUCCAUUUCUUUUGUAGGGUGAUUAGGAAAAAUUGAUUCUCAAGGAUAAUCACAGUCAUGCACAGAAAACCCAAGCCCAUGAAAUUAGUGAGACCGGGACUCUUUAUGCUCUGAUUGUAAUGACACAUCAUUACUACUUGAUUCAUUUAUAAAGGCCCCACACACCUCCAGGAAGACCGAAUGCUCCUCCAAACUGCAGAAACAAGUGAACAAUGCAGGUUCAUCAUCUCCUUUUUGUGCUCUCGGGCCACCUCAUGUUCCCUGUCAAAGUCUUUCAAAAUAUCCAUAAGGCUAAUUAUUAAUCAUCUUCCACCUGCUGGGACAAAAUACGCAGCACUCACAACAUAAAGGAGAGGUUUAUUUUGGCUCCCGGUGUAGUCCAGUUGUCUGGCUCCGAGAGAGAACAAUAUGGUGGAAGGCGUGGCAGAAGAAAGCGGUGCAAUCUGUGACAGCCGGGAAGCGGAGACCGAGAGGAGGAGCCAGGGUGCAGAAUGCACCUUCCAGUCCUCAGCCCCAGGACUACACAUAAUCCACCUAGUGGCUGUGCUAUGCCUUAAUACCUUGGAAUCAUUGUAAUCCAUCAGACGGAAGGGUAAAAACAGCCUAUGGGAGGUGGAGCUAUUUCCUAAUACUCCUGACUGAAAAUUACAUGCAUAAAGUCAGCUUACACUGCCCUAAUAUCCGUGUGGCCACACCAGAAUAUAAAGGGGAAAAGAACACGCCAUUGCAACAAGUACCUAAACAAAGAAGAAAGCAACAGGUUCUGGGGAAAAUAUCACUUCAAGGAUUCAAGCAAGUGACUGCGCAUGGGCAAUAAACAAGAUGGAGUGAGCAGAGUAUACCUGAUAAAAUGAAGGAAUGUUGCCAAUCUAACAAGGCUCAGGGAAGAUGCAGAUGUUCUAGUGUCCCACGGCUCUUUUAAUCAAUGCAGGAGAAAAUAAAUGUGGCUACUGAGUAUUUGAAAUGUGGUUGGUGAAACUGAACAACCAAAUCUUUAACAUUUUAGAAAUUUAAUUAAUCAGUUGGAACUCCUUAUGCGAGGAGGUAGAUUUUAACUUUUUAAAACAAUAACAUUCAGCAGCAACGGCAACAUAUAGCUUGGGGGCACCUACCAGAUGUCAAGUGCGAUUCAAAGCACUUUGGAUUAAUCAGAUUGUCCUUCAUAACAACUCUGUGAGGUUAGUACUUUCCUAUAACUGUCAUUUUGCUGAUAAGGAAAUAUAGGCACAGAGUUGUUUGAUACAUUUUUUACCUUUAUGAAACAUACAGUCCAGUGCAGGAAAUAGACAAACAGAUAAUUCUAUUGUAGUUGUGGUAACAACUGUGGAAGAGACCACAAAAUACCUGUUAUAAACCAGAAGGGAAAAAUAGAAAUUGACCUAAUGAUGAAAACAGAGAGGUUUCAAUGAAAAAUGGAAUGUGUUAGGCAUGAGGUAGGGGAGAGUGGGUGAACUGGCUGCAUAACAAUUCUCUCCUAAAAUCCCAGUGCUGUCCAUUUCUUCUUUCCCUCUGGCCUAGAAGAAUACAGUGUUCAAGUUACUCUUUUAUCCACCUAGAAAAUACUCAGUUGUCUUUGGGCCUGGACCCUACUUUGGAUUGUAAUAUGUGGAGCCAACAAUAAAUAUCAAAAUAUCAAAAUGAAGAGGAACUGCUGCCCUUCCCCUACCCUUAGGCUUCAAUGGGUCUGAUCCUUAUCUUCUUAAAGCCAAAAAGCAACUGCCAUGGCCUGGUUGCCCUUUCCCUAGAAUAGGUCAGCCUGGCUACAACUCAGCCCAUUUACACGCAUCAUUAAGGCUAAUGAUUAGCUAACUUGUUCCUUCUCUAGGCCUAAUGAGGUGUGAGGUGAUAGGUCUGUAGUUCAGUGUAAAAGAUACAAAAAUUAGAUGCCCAGAAAUUAUUCCUUUAGAAGUGAUGCAAUGAAUCCAAUAUGGUUCCUCCUAUGUUAGCUUAGAGUAACACAACCCAAGUGGUAACCCAAAUUAUUUGUGCAAGAUUUUAACCUUUGUGAUGAUAGUAGAGGAUUUUUUCUUAAUGUGCAUGCUGUAACCUGUAUGUACAAGUAUGCAUUCCUUUUUGUAAAACUAUGA